UGCUCUAGAUUAAGUUUGAUCAUGGCUCAGACUGAGCGNCUAGCGGCAGGCCAUAACACAUGCAAGUCGAACGGUAACAGGAAGCAGCUUGCUGCUUUGCUGACGAGUGGCGGACGGGUGAGUAAUGUCUGGGAAACUGCCUGAUGGAGGGGGAUAACUACUGGAAACGGUAGCUAAUACCGCAUAACAGUCGCAAGACCAAAGAGGGGGACCUUCGGGCCUCUUGCCAUCGGAUGUGCCCAGAUGGGAUUAGCUAGUAGGUGGGGUAACGGCUCACCUAGGCGACGAUCCCUAGCUGGUCUGAGAGGAUGACCAGCCACACUGGAACUGAGACACGGUCCAGACUCCUACGGGAGGCAGCAGAUGGGGAAUAUUGCACAAUGGGCGCAAGCCUGAUGCAGCCAUGACCGCGUGUAUGAAGAAGGCCUUCGGGUUGUAAAGUACUUUCAGCGGGGAGGAAGGUGUUGAGGUU
rnacentral:rRNA from 1 species